rnacentral:lncRNA from 1 species
UCGCCCUUUUUUCCCUAGGCAACAAGUACGUGACUAUAUCACCUUACUUAUCUUAAUGCCUGUGUUUGGCCCUUUCAGCACUUGUUGUUUGCACUUGCACUAUAGAACCCCCUUUAGGCAUCACCCUCCUCUAUGCUACUUUUCCCUCUCAUCUCUCUCUCCUCAACUGAAGACCGGCAAGACAAGGUACACCAAGGAUUCUACUUUGACAACCAACUAGCAAUAAAGACUUCUGCUACAAUCUCCACGACCAAGUGCAAUCCCGUAGAAUUAUGUUUAACCCUCAAGAUUAGAGACCCAUUCCUAGACCCUUCAAGACUUCAUAAGAUACCCCAGCUCGAAUCCUUAACCAUGUGCUUAACCCACAGAAUUGCAAGAGAACCUGUUAAGCAUCCGUAACCUUGCUUAUCACUGGGUUCAUUAUGGAACUAGUGGACAUAGUGAACGAGCACAUUAUCAUCCUAAGAUAGCACCAAAACUGACAAUGCCAUAGGGAAGACCAAUUUGAGGAUAUAGGAACAGAGGACAAAUGACUUGAUGAGUUUAUAUCAGUGACCUUGAGGAAUUAUUUGAGACUCUUUGGAGGAUUAUAAGGCUUUCAUGUUGGUAGAUGAACUUGGUGGGAUCAUGAUUAUAGAGUAGCAUAGCUUUCAUUACCCCUGAGUAAAUUGGAUUUAAUAGGACAAUUAGGAUCACAAGCUGAAAUUCUUGGAAGUAUAAGGAUUUGACUUAGCCAGGGGAUAUUGAGAGGAGAUAGUUGAUAUUACGAUAAUGACUUGGGGGAAAGUGUGGAAAUUCUCGUUGGACACAAGAUUUGGAUUUAAAUAGGUGAUCCUAGUUGAGUAUAGAUGCUGAGUAAGUCUACAUGGUUCAGAGUAAAUUGGAAUUAGACCGAUAAUCUUGAUCAUGAUACCAUGUUUCUCGGUGGACAAUAAACUAGGAGAUUGGAUUAGUUGUCAGAGUCGAUAUAAACUUGACCUUGGAAGUUACUUGACCCCGAUAAUGGCAAUUGGUGGACUGACUAUAGUAAAGAUAACCCUUUUCAAGUAUUUGAGGAUUAUAAGGACUUUAGAAGAUCAUGUGGAACCCCAUAAACAUUGGAUUUGUAGAAUUAAGGGAUUGUGUAGUGAUUGAUGGAAGUUAAUGGGCUGCUGGAGUUGAUCCAUAGGAAGGAAACAAGAUCUUGGAGUGUCUUACAUCGUGUUUCCUAAGGAUAGAGGUGCUUUAUCUUAGACCUUGGAAGAAUAGGCUGAGCACUUGGAUUGUCACGUUCAAGCUUAGCAACUUAUAUGUUCUACCCAUGGAUUUUUAGGGGCAGACAUACAUAUGGGUUUGGGGAUUGUAGACAUAUAUGAUUUUGUUAGAUCUCCUCUCGAGAGUCAUGAGGAUAUGAAUCACAUGAGUGAUGAUUGGAGUUGACCUAUACGAAAUGAUACUAUCGGUGAUAUGAUGUGAUUUGUUUAAAGGACUAGAUAGCACAAUUGGCAUCUCAGAAACUGUGCACAAGGAUGGGAUGAUAAACAUUCACUCGCACACUAGAGUCCUUAAAACCCUUACGCCCUACCAAGCCACAACAUGGUCGGAUCCUGACCUUGGGCUUUGGCUCUAGAUCGAUAAGACCUUGGCCAAUGCUCAACCGUGACCAUCACCAAUGCCUCAGCCCACUUUACGUACCCCAUAGACUUCAUGGAGUUCUUGGACAAGUUAGUUGUCAUCUUUCUUUGAUGACAUACUUGUCUACCCGAAGACGGAAGAAGAAUCGUUGAGUUGGUCAAGGAACAUCUGAAGAUCGUCAUGUCUAGGAGGAAGAACUACACCAACCACCAUCUUCAAGAAGUAUACUUCCGCAUCAAAGACCAUGUGUAUCUGCAAGCCACUCCUCUGUAAGGGACCAAGCAUUUCCAUGAUAAGGAGAUCCACACCAAGAUUCAUCGGCCCCCUUCGAGAUCACUCCAAGAUUUAACAACCCCCUCUGAGAUCACUACGAGACGAAGAGAAGACAGUUACCAGAUGGAGUUUCCACCUGAGUUACCUGAUGUGCACAAUGCUUUCCAUGCAUCACAACCUCGGAAGUGUUUCCAACUUCCUAACUUGCCCGAUCUCUACGAGGGCAUUAACCACCGAGCCAUCGACCCCUAGCCCAAUCUAACCUACCGCGAGCUACCCAUUAGCAACCUGGAUCAAGAGGAGCGUCAUACACAAAGCCACACCAUCAAGUACUUCAAGCUCAAUGGAGCACUACACGGAACCAGAAGCAACAUGAGGACUUGAAGACUACCCUAGAUCCAAGUUUCUGUAUCCCUUUCCGCACCUAGUUUGGGAAUCUCGGGGACGAGAUUCUUGUAAAGGGGGUAGGUAUGUCACACCUUGAUUUUCAUGCCACUACACUAAAGCUAACAAUCAUGAUAAAAUGUGGUUUGACAAAAACUUUUGAGUGUUUUGGACCUUGCCUUGAUUGGUUUUUUGCAAGUGCUCUAAAAAUCAAAUAAAUCCUCCAACUCCUAUACUUCAUCUCCUUGCUCCAAACUCUUGAACCAAUGAUCAUGCCAUGUUUAUAGGACAUAAAAAUAAUUUCUUACAAAAAUAAUUUGGCCAAAUAUUAUUUAAAAAAAAUUAGUUUUCCAAAAACCCCUGAAUUGAGGUUUGCACUGCAAGUACUUAAUUAAGGGCAGUAAAAAUCUUUCCAAAAAUAUAUUUGACUCCUAUUAGAUAUAGGAUACCCAGAAACCACAAAAAUAUAAUUUUAAAAGUUAUUUACCUAUUUUAUUUAAAGGCUUUUUCCUUAGGCCAGAAUGGUCUUUAAUAGGUUAAAAUUAUUUUUAUGCUUUAAAAAUAUUUGGUAAAACCUAGGGAAACUCAAUGGACAUAUAUUGUCCAUAUAUAAGAGUUUCAACACAUGGUCAGGAUCAAAAUAUUGGUUAAAUCCCUCAAAAACCCUUUCUGGAUAUUUCAAGCUUUUGAAAUAUUUACAAAAGAAAUAUUCCCCAAAAAUCCCAAGAAAAAUCUAGAAUGUCACAUAUGACAUGGUUGAUGAUCUUGCCAAGUAUCAUGUCAUGGAGAAUAGUAUAACCCCAUGAAAUCUCCUCAAAACCAUUUCUGUCCAUUUUGAAGUUUGAGCAACUUUACAGUGCCAAACAUGUCCAAAUGAUUUCAAACCUUGUGAACAUGCUAAAAUGGUCUAAUUAUUCAUCUAAACCAAAUGGCACAAGUUUGAGAGAAUGUUAUCUUGCUCAAAGUGCCCCAAAACCCUUCCUGUCCAGAACCAAAUUUGAACAACUCUACAUUGGCAACUUUCUCCUUUUGAUCUCAACUUUUGUGGACAUGUUCAUAACCUCAAAUGAUGACACUACACUAAGUGGUGCAUCAAGGAGAAUCGAUUUGCAUGACUAAAUCUUGGAAAGUCCAUUUCUGCUGAUUUCUAGGGUUUACAAAAGUUGCAUUGGCAACUUUUCUCAAAUGAACUCGAUCUUGGUGGAACCUCUUGUUUUCUCAGGCCAUUUGACCUUGUCAAGCCUCAUGACAAGGGAAGUCCAUUUGCUUGCCCAAACCUACAUCAAACACCUUCUGGCAGAAAUUUAAAAUGCCUGUUUUGUACACUUCCACUAAUCUCCAUGAGCUCAACUUUUUCCCACAGCCUCAUCUGCUCCUCCUCUACCUCCUGCAUGCUUAGCUGCCCGAGGGGCAAUGAUUAAGGGGGGCAGAGACCCAUUUUUCCUCUCUGUACAAGCCCAUUUCUCUCCGUUUCUCGCCUCCCUCCUCACUCCAAUGGCCACUAGGGCAUCCAAUGUCCCUCCCCUCUUCUUUACUCCCUCCUAGAGCUACCAGACAUUAGUGGCCGUGCCCACAAGGCAUAUAAAAUGCCAUGGCAUGCCAUUUGCAUGCUCUGGAGCGCGCUACAGUGCGCUCUAGCACUGUAGCCGCCCCCUUCCAACCACCUCCGGCCACCUCGGGCCUCCCCAGCACACCCGAUGAUGCGCCUCAGCGUCCAUAGCAUGGCAGUUGGUCGGCCCCCUCCUCGUUCUCCCUCCUCCUGCCCCUGCUCGCACGCUCGACGGUCGCCCGAGUGCACCAGUAUAACACCCUCGAUGCGACUAUAUCUCCCACGUGUCGAGGCACGACUUAGAGGCAUAAUCGCAUUUAAGGCAUAUGUCGCAAGUUAGGCAAUCUUCACAACAUCCCAUGUAAUAUAAAUCAUAAAGGGGAUAUAACAUAGUUGGCUUACACUCGCCACGUCAAACAAGUACAUAAAUAACACACAUCAUCCAAACACUCAUGGCCCGACUACGACGCCAAAAUAAAAGAGAACCCAACAUGCGACACGGUCCCAAUCACCCCCAACUGGGCACCACUACUGAUCAUCGGGAAAGGAAACAUAGUAACGUUGAGAGUCUUCGUCGAACUCCCACUUGAGCUCAUACGCGACUCCUGGAGCGGAAUCAUCAGGCCCUACAUCUGGUGUAAUAGUAAUCUGUGAGCCACAGGGACUCAGCAAUCUCGCACCCUCGCGAUCAAGACUAUUUAAGCUUAUAGGAAUGGCAAGGUAAAAUAUGAGUGGAGCUGCAGCAAGCGGCUAGCAAAUAUGGUGGCUAACUUAUUCGCAAAAGAGAGCGAGAAGAGGAGGCAAAGCGCGAGCGAGAAACUAGAGAGCAACCUGCACAAACAUUACUCCAACACUGUGUCCACUUCCCGGACUCCGCCGAGAAGAGGCCAUCACGGUAACACACUCAGUUGAUUCAUUUUAAUUAAGUUAAGGUUCAAGUUAUCUACAACCAGACAUUAACAAAUUCCCAUCUGCCCAUAACCGCGGGCACAGCUUUCGAAAGUUCAAAUCCCUGCAGGGAGUCCCAACUUAGCCCAUGACAAGCUCUCACGAUCAACGAAGGAAUAGACCUCCUCCCAAGACGUUCCGAUCAGACUCGGUAUCUCGGUAAUUCAAGACACUUCGACAGGUUAAAACAAGACCAGCAACACCGCCCGAAUGUGCCGACAAAUCCCGAUAGGAGCUGCACAUAUCUCUUUCUCAGGGCACACUCAGAUGAGCGCUCCAUACAACUAAAACCAAACCUCGAGUUUCCCCGAGGGGGCGCUGCACAGGACUCUAGUUUGGACCAACACUCAGAGGAGCACUGGCCCAGGGUUUUUUAAAAUAAGAUGACCCGCGGGCUCCGAAAACCCGAGGGAAAAAGAGGCUAGGUGGCAAAUGGUAAGACCAAGGUUGGGCAUUGCUGGAAAAGCUUUAAUCAAGGCGAACUAUCAAGGGGUUCCCAUUAUAACCCAACCGCGUAAGGAACGCAAAAUCCGGGAACAUAACACCGAUAUGACGGAAACUAGGGCGGCAAGAGUGGAACAAAACACUAGGCGAGAGGCCGAGCCUUCCACACUUUACCAAGUAUAUAGAUGCAUUAAGAUAACAAGAUAAUAUGAUGGUAUCCCAACAAGAAAAUAAAUAUUCCAAUAAGGAACGGCCUCCGAUCUUCACCUGCAACUAGUAACGCUAUAAGAGGGGCUGAGCAAAGCGGUAACAUAGCCAAUCAACGGUUUGCUAGGACAAUGGUGGGUUAGAGGUUUGACAUGGAAAUUUGGGAGGCUUGCAAGCAAAUUGUAGGCAUCAUAGCACUGGCAUAGAAAAAGAGUGAACAAACUAGCAUAGCAAAGAUAGUAGUGAUUUCGAGGGUAUGAUCAUCUUGCCUGCACAGUUGUCAGAGUUGACUGGAUCCUCAAAAGCAAACUCAACGGGCUCCUCGUUAGCGAACUCGUCUCCCGGCUCUACCCAAACAAGACAAACAAGCAACAAGGACACAAUCAACCACGUGCAAGGAUCAAGCGAUAUGAUGCAAUGGUGAUAUGCUAUGCGGGAUGCGAUGCGGGAUGCGAUGCGGGAUGCAAAAUGCAAGAUAUGACAGGAAAUGCAUGAACCUGGCCUCAACUUGGAAAUCCAUGUGUGUCACUGGAAAGAUGAGAUGAAAUCGCUUGAAAACGAUAUAAAGAACGUCGGAAUCGGAGUUACGGUUUGGAAAUGGCAAACGAUUCAAAAAUGACACCGGUCUGAGAUUUACAGCAAGUAGGCAUCUAAAUGCAAUGAAAUGAACAUGCUACACCCACCAAUAUGACAAAAAAAUACAUGGAAGGGAUGCACACAAGAUGCUUAACAAAAGUGUAGCACUGAGCUACGGCCAAUUCAUCCAUUAACAGGUUCAAACAAGCAUGGCAAAAAUGCAUAUGAUGAACAGAUCUCAGACUUAGUGAAAUUAACACUCGCCUGGAAUUUCAGAUCAGGUAGCCCUCUUCAGAGCAACAAAACUACAUGCUACAGGACCUGAACAUGAACAAGUAAAGCAUGGCAUGGAACUACUCAAAGAUCUUAACAAAAGUCCCUUAGUGACCUUGAGUCAAAAGGGAUCAGAAAAUACAAUUGCAAGCAAGUGAACAUAGCAAAAACAUAAUCAGUUUCAGACUUAGUGAAAAACUGACACAUGCUGAAAUAUAACUCAAGUAGGCAUGUUUACGAGCUCGAUGCACUCACUACAGAGCAAGUCAUGGCAAGACAAGCAUAUAUCCAUCAAGAAGGCACAAAAUUCAAGCUAGACAUGGCAAGAACAAUAGCAUAGCAUGCACGGAUCAACUACAACAUCACCGGCAAAAUUGCAAACAAGUUGACAAUCUGCCCAGAUUCACAAAGUAGCAAAAGUAGAGCUUGAUUGACUCAAGCUAGGGUGCUCCAUAAAUGCAAAUAAAGACAUGGAUGGAUAGAGCACUACAAUAUUAACAAAACAUCCUUACUGAUUCUCCUCAAAAGAGGCACGGAUCACUAGGAAACAACAAGAACAUAUGGCAUCAUGAGAUAAACAGCUUCAGGACUUAGUGAAAUAAGUCCCUGAAAACAGAAUUAGCAAGUGCACCACUUUGCAAGCUUGCACUAGUCACCACACACAUUCUAAAAAUACAUGGUUGCACCUCUGGAUAGAUGACAAAACCCUUAACAAAGCAUAUGUAGAACUCACGGGCAUAUCAUGCACACAUUAAUCAUGGCAAAAAUGACAAAAUUGCUAAACGGAGUAGCAGAUCUGGCAAUUAACUCAAGUAGCCCUCUUCUAACAGCAUUUCGGGCAUCAAGAUGAGCUCAAAUGAAAAUGAUGCAAUGGAAUGAAAUGAUGUACUCUCUGAGAUGAACAUUUUGAUAUGCUAUAUGCAUGAAUCGGAUCCACGGAUGCAAAGUUACGGAGCUAUGAACAGAGGCACUUGGAUCUGAGAAAUCUAGGACUUAGUGGAAUUUUACCUCCGCGAAAAGUCAACGCGGGAUGAGGUGGUGCGGGAUGGCUAGAUCCGGGACAUGGGGAGGCGUUUGGAUGGCGGGGUUGGUGGAUCUAAUCCAGAUCCGGCCGGACCGAAACUCUGGCGAGGUGGCGCGAACUCGGGCGAGGUUCUGGCGACGAGGGACGGCGCAGAGGGCGGCGGUGACGCGCGACGAGGCGGCGGAGGAGAUGGCCGGCGUCUCGGGCGGCGAGGCGCGGUGCUUGCNNNNNNNNNNNNNNNNNNNNNNNNNNNNNNNNNNNNNNNNNNNNNNNNNNNNNNNNNNNNNNNNNNNNNNNNNNNNNNNNNNNNNNNNNNNNNNNNNNNNNNNNNNNNNNNNNNNNNNNNNNNNNNNNNNNNNNNNNNNNNNNNNNNNNNNNNNNNNNNNNNNNNNNNNNNNNNNNNNNNNNNNNNNNNNNNNNNNNNNNNNNNNNNNNNNNNNNNNNNNNNNNNNNNNNNNNNNNNNNNNNNNNNNNNNNNNNNNNNNNNNNNNNNNNNNNNNNNNNNNNNNNNNNNNNNNNNNNNNNNNNNNNNNNNNNNNNNNNNNNNNNNNNNNNNNNNNNNNNNNNNNNNNNNNNNNNNNNNNNNNNNNNNNNNNNNNNNNNNNNNNNNNNNNNNNNNNNNNNNNNNNNNNNNNNNNNNNNNNNNNNNNNNNNNNNNNNNNNNNNNNNNNNNNNNNNNNNNNNNNNNNNNNNNNNNNNNNNNNNNNNNNNNNNNNNNNNNNNNNNNNNNNNNNNNNNNNNNNNNNNNNNNNNNNNNNNNNNNNNNNNNNNNNNNNNNNNNNNNNNNNNNNNNNNNNNNNNNNNNNNNNNNNNNNNNNNNNNNNNNNNNNNNNNNNNNNNNNNNCGGGGGCGCACGGUCGGGCGGCGGCGAAUCCGGGCCCCGCGGGCCCGUGGCGGCGGAGGAGAGAGGAGGAGGCCAGGUGGCGCGCGGGGAUUGGCCCAGAGCGGCGGCGCGACUGAGGUGGCAGCUCCCCAUUGGUGGGAGUGAGGUGGCGGCGGGCGGUGGACACGUCCGGCGCGGCGUGGACACGUCCGGCGGCGCGAGAGGAGGAGUUUUUAGGGUUCAUCCGCGAAAAUUUCGGGGAUGGCCACAUAUUUAUAGGUAGAGGGAGCUAGGAGAGUCCAAAUGAGGUGCGGUUUUCGGCCACACGAUCGUGAUCGAACGCUCUAGAUGAUGGAGCAGAGUUAGGUGGGUUUUGGGCCAAAUUGGAGGGGUGUUGGGCUGCAACACACACGAGGCCUUUUCGGUCCCUCGGUUAACCGUUGGAGUAUCAAACGAAGUCCAAAUGGCACGAAACUUGACAGGCGGUCUACCGGUAGUAACCCAAGGCCGCAUGGCAAGUCUCGGUCCAAUCCGGAAAUGUUUAAUCCCCACACACGAAAGAAAUCUAGAAAUGACCACCGGAGGAGAACGAAGCGCCGAAAUGCAAAACGGACAACGGGAAAAAUGCUCGAAUGCCUGAGACGAACACGUAUGCAAAUGCAAUGCACAUGAUGACAUGAUAUGAGAUGCAAGACAAAGACAACAACACACGGAGACAAAGAAACCGAACCCGAGGAAAUAAAUUAACUUAACGCCGGAAACGGCAAGAGUUGGAGUACAAAUAGGGAAAGUUACAUCUGGGGUGUUACAACACUCCACCACUAUGAGAGGAUCUCGUCCCGAGAUCUAGAAUGGAACCGGAGGGAAAACGGAAGAGAAAGAGAAGAGGUAAAACUAAGUUUCUUCUUUGACAAAUGAGUGAAACCAAGGAACCUUGAAAAGUUGAACAAAUUGAAAGAAAGAAUACAACGGAGAUGAACGAAGUUGAAAACACUCCGUUAGAAAAGAGGGACAAGGAAGAACAACUUCGAGCAGCACUCCGGUUGAGAAGUUAUGCAAGACUUGAUACGGUGAAAAGAACUUGAGCAGAGGACACGACACUCCGGUUAAACAAGACAGAGAAGGAAUAAGUCUGAUAUAAUUUGGACAGCACUUCGACUGUAAAUGGAAGAAAUUGAACACGAUCUUGACAAAACGAGAUGACAGGUGAAAAGAACAACAUCGCAAUGCCUCCGGAAGAAAAGAAUAGAAGAUAGAUAAUUGAAAUAAAAGAAUGGAGAAGAAAAUGUCAUCUUAUGCCACAAAAGCGCUUGAGAAGGCAUCCUUAGGAGACGGGUCAAGCGGAAUUGUUGGAACACCAACAACGAAAAGAAUAUACUUGGUAUGGUCUUAUGGAAUACAUCUCAAAAUCUGAAGUGACAGCCUGCCACUCACGGGAAAGGAAUUGGAUUGGAAUGAACAAAGAGACGAGAAAGUAUUUCACCGGGAGGAUAAAUGAAGAACCUGGGUCCUUUAUAAGCACCAUAGAUAGCAACAAUCGUUAGGGAAAGUUUUAGGUGAAAUAUAACCCAAGAUAAUUCCCAUGACGAGCUUGAUGGAUUUAAGAUAUCUCAAUCUUGACAACAUGUGAAUCAUGAACCACAUAGGGAAAUCAUCAAGAAUGACAUAAUACCACCUCAAAUGAUACGGUAGAAAGAAUUGAACUCCGGAUUGCAAGAUGAAGAAUGCUUGAGCUCCUUAGAAAAGAAUCUCGAUGAACACUUCGAGAAGGAGUAUCAAACGAAAAGAAAAAGAAGUUGAAAACACAAAGUGAAACCUUGUAAUGAUUUAGAUGGAUCUCCGUGAUGAAGUAAUUGAAAAAGGUUGGAACUCCGGGAAAAUAGAAGAGUCAGGUAAGAUCCUGGGAAAAAACCUGUGGGUUAGGGCCCACUCAAGAGAAGCACCGUUGAAAUGAUUUUAAAGAGAGGUUGCACCGGUUGAGAAGAUAUUUGAAACGAGGAAAAAGGAUAUGAUCAACACCAAAAGCUUGAAUUGGUUCCACCAGAGAAGAAAAGAAUGAAGAAUGACAAACUAGUAGAACAUCUCCUUGAGAACCACCGGGUAAGAAUAUUGACGAAAAAGAAUGGAGUGACUUCACAUGAAUUGAAUGGAUACCCGAUGAAGAAAUCUGGGUCCUCGAAGAAACAAAAAGGGAGGAAGGGUGGGAAAAAGAAAGACAACUUGGAGAUGGAGGAAACGAACGCUGUUGAGAGAGCUGAUACUUGAUCUUGCAGAUGUUGAAAUGAUCGGAUCCACUUGAGGAGAGACACAUCGGUUGAAAAGGUUUGACAUGACAAUCUCGAUUAUCAUGAAGGAUUAGUAUUCACAUGAGAACACCAUUUGGGGAAGGUAUGGAAUCAAUAUUUGACUUCGAAGCAACUCGAAUACCACAACUCAAAACAAACCAAAGUAUUGGCUUGCAAAAUAAGCCGGAACAAACAUAUGAUAGAGAUUUCGUCCGAAGUUUUCGUGGUGGGGCCUACACGGGCUCGAUCACGUGGUGCUGUUUGCACAUUUUUCUAAAUUUGAUGAUUCAAAUUUCUAGUAGCUCAUAAAUUCAUGAUCUAUCACGUGGUGCUGUUUGCACAUUUUUCCAGGAAACUUUUCUUCACACAUAUUUCGUAAAACCCUAUUUUUCCAUUUCUGUGAUAAACUUUAGAAAAUCACAGAGAGCUCAAAAUUGAUCCAAAUGCCAUGAUUCAAAUUACUAGAUGCUUCUAAGUUCAUAACUUAGUCUAUGAACAUUUUUCUCAAUACUUUCUGUAGCACACAAAAUAAUGAGCCAUUUCUUCAUAUUUGUCAACUUUGCAAAUUCAUAGGAAAAUCAUUUGAAUUCCAAAUCCAGUGAAACCAACUCCUAGAUACUUCUAAAAUCAUGGUUUGUUAAAUGGGUGCCUUUGCUCAUUUUUCAAAACUAUAUUUCUGUCCACUUCUUGCAAAUCUAAAAACCCCUUGAUUCCAUCAUAUUGAAAUGUUCAGGAAUAUCCACUGACCCAAUCCCAAUGAAACCACUCUGGUCAGUUCUCAUAUAACCAGAGAUGUCCUAGAAAAGUCAAAUUAAUAUUUUUAGAGCACUUUUAUUUUCUGCUUUGUUGUGUUGCUUACUAUGAUUGUUUCCGACGUUAGUUGACGAAGUAGACGAGAUACUCAGAUAUGGACCAGAAGAUUUGAAGAAUCUGAUGAACCAAGCAAGCAGUCCUUUGACCAUGUCUAUGAAACCCUUUUUAUGCAUGACAUAUAGCACCAUAUUGUUGUUGCAACAGAAUCAUGAUGAGGUGGAACCACUUUGAUGGUUUGCCUCCGUUACUUCCUCGUUGAUACUUGCAUUGUGCAUGACCCUACCUCCUUAUGAGGGUUAUGCCGAUGGGAGUAGAUAUGAUGCUAAAGUAGUUGCUACGCAAAAAGGGACGGGAAUAUGCAUGGUGAUGGAGACAAAGUAUUUUCAAAGGACUUUUCGAAAACCCCGUCAGGUACCACUUAUGCUCGAGGGAGAUAAUGAGAUGGGUAUCCGCUUGAUGACGAAGUGGUGUACGGAGGCAAGAGUGUGUGUGUUUCUUUCAAAAACGGAUUGGUUUAAGUUGUGACCGUUAUUCCAACCUUACAUGCGCAACCACUCCACCCUUAUAUGGGAAAGGGCAUUAUUGAUUACCUAGGCCGAUACUAGCUUGGAGCCUGCAUUAAUAGUGAUGGGGGAGAGUUGGUGCUCUCUCUCGGGACGGGGUCGUGCCAGGUAGGGUGGCCAAGAACAUUUUUAUGAGGCACCGGACACACCGUUGGUACCCCAUGCCAAUGGUAUGUGAUGAAUAUGGGAGCGAGGCUCCACAAUUUUAAGUUGUGAAAGGUUGGGCACAGGGGUUACUACCAAUCGAGUGGACUCCAUGUUAGUGUCGUCUAGGGAAAGAUAGUGAUCGGGUGCUUACCCCGGGUACUUGAGGUACCGCGGGUCGUGGAUGACACGGAAGUUCCCCGGAUCUUGUGGGUAAAGUGUGCAACCUCUGCAGAGUGUAAAACUAUUCGAAUAGCCGUGUCAACGGUCAAGGAUAGUUGGGUAACCGCUCUUGGGCUACAUCCACAUGUUUACAAACCAGUGUGUGUGUUUGGAUAAGUGGGAAGAUCUACUUGGGUCAAGUCAAAGGACUUGACAUGAUUGAGUCGGGUUGAUGCCCACUCUAUUUAUGUUGAUAUAUAUAACCUGUCCUCAUGGUUACUUGAAUUCUCCUGAUGCUUGUCUUACAAGUUGUUGAACAUGUCAUUGCACUCAAAACUAGCUUUCUGCAAAAAUCUGCCUAUAUCAUGCACUGUUGUAUCUUGAACCAAAACAUGGGUUGCUUGCGAGUACAUUCGAAGUACUCAUUGGCUUGCCACUGGUUAUUUUAUUGGCCAGGCAUGAAAGAACAGGAUAUAAUGAAGAGUACCUUGGUGACAAACAUGCGAGCUUGGACACUUCCCAGUCAGAAUGCCUGUAGGGUUAAGGCAGAUGGCAUGGGUCCAAGUUGUUAUUGAAGAUUUCCACUGCGAUGAUACACUCAAGACUUGACCAUAAUGGUCCUACUUGUGUAAAACGGUAUGUAUGGAUGUAAGACUCUUGUUAUUCAGGUUCUGUGUGUUCAGUGAGCAUUGAUCUCUGGGAUCACUGUACACGUGCAUUCGGUGAUCUCGACUUAUGAGUCGGGGUCCCCACAGAGCUGGUAUUAGAGCCAUCCUGACUGUAGGAAGCCUUAGUUAGCAUGGUUGUUAGUUAGGGUAAAACUAUUUCCAAAACUACUACUAGUUUUCAAAACUAUCUAUACUUCUCUUCCCUUCUUAGUUUUUCGAAAACUAAGGUAUACUUUCCUUAUUGAUCUCUUCCCCUUCAAAACCUUUGGUUGCUAGAACCCUUAUGCCCCUGACCACUGGAUUCCUUGUAAUCCUCGUGGAUAAUCUAGAAGGAAGAUGCCUUGCCAGACAUUCACCCACAUCGCCUGAACACAAGAUUGGCGACAUCACAACAAGACAAUACCAACAGAAGAUACAUCCUCGAGGGAUGAGGACCUGAAGACCCAGGAGAUGGUGACACCCUUGACACUGCCCCAAGAUGAUGCAACCUUAGCCUACGACGAUCAGGGCAUAGGAUAUGCAAGAUCAUGACAUACAUCGCUAAUAGGGUAACCCUGUCACUACCGUUGUUGUAUCGGCGACCACCGGUGGAUGAGAACCUAGCCAUUUGGUCCGCCUCACUAUAGUGAACAGGAAAAGGGUUCUCUUCAUCCCCCGCUCUCGGUGACGAUAUUGUCAACAAUGUGUUGGACGGAUUGGACCUCUAUUAUGCCUUGGUUAAUGUCAUUGCAUAAAGGAUGGCCACCUGGAACCGCCGACACCUUAAAAAGGCAAAAUCGAUCAUCAUGAUUAAGAGGACAAGAGAAGACCAAGUCAAUGCCAGCUACGAGGAGUCACCUUCACCCCAUCAUCUCAUCGGGCGAGAAGUGUUGAAGAUUCUUCAGGCCAACCCGGAUCAUUUCAUCAAACAACUACAAAAGACGUAGCGACACCUGAGGAAAAAUCCAGAAGACUGCAUGAGGCACGAAGUAAAGCACGACUACUUAGUCUGAGAACCCCUAGGGUAGGAUGAGUCGUGUACCCCCUAUGUGCAGUCGAGUCCGUAUGAUGGUUCGAAUAGAACCAUGACUGUGUGUUGCUUGUUUUUAUUUGUUUGUGUUUUGAUAUCAGUCGCCCUUUUUGCCCUAGGCAACAAGUACGUGACUAUAUCACCUUACUUAUCUUAAUGCCUGUGUUUGGCCCUUUCGGCACUUGUUGUUUGCACUUGCACUAUAGAACCCCCUUUAGGCAUCACCCUCCUCUAUGCUACUUUUCCCUCUCAUCUCUGUCUCCUCAACUGAAGACCGGCAAGACAAGGUACACCAAGGAUUCUACUUCGACAACCAACUAGCAAUAAAGACUUCUGCUACAAUCUCCACGACCAAGUCCAACCCCGUAGAAUUAUGUUUAACCCUCAAGAUUAGAGACCCAUUCCUAGACCCUUCAAGACUUCAUAAGAUACCCCAG